rnacentral:rRNA from 1 species
ACGCUCGACACCUACGGGAGGUAGCAGUGGGGAAUAUUGCACAAUGGGGGAAACCCUGAUGCAGCGACGCCGCGUGACUGAAGAAGUACUUCGGUAUGUAAAAGGUCUAUCAGCAGGGAAGAGAAUGACGGUACCUGACUAAGAAGCCCCGGCUAACUACGUGCCGACAGCCGCGGUAAGUCUGAGCGGGCGUGGCAAGGC